rnacentral:tRNA from 1 species
GGGUAUAGCUCAGUGGUAGAGUACGCAUGCUUAGCAUGCACGAGGUCCUGGGUUCAAUCCCCAGUGCCUCCA